CAUAGGUUUGGUCCCAGCCUUCCUGUUAACUUUCAAUAAAUUUACACAUGCAAGCAUCUGCACCCCAGUGAGAAUGCCCUCUGGGUUUAUAAAACUAAGAGGAGCUGGUAUCAAGCUCACAUCCGUAGCUAACGACACCUUGCUUAACCACACCCCCACGGGAAACAGCAGUGAUAAAAAUUAAGCUAUAAACGAAAGUUUGACUAAGUUAUAUAAGUUAGGGUUGGUAAAUCUCGUGCCAGCCACCGCGGUCAUACGAUUAACCCAAGCUAACAGGAACACGGCGUAAAACGUGUUUAAGCAUUUUCCCAAAUAGAGUUAAAGUUUAGUUAAGCUGUAAAAAGCCAUUGCUAUCAUAAAAAUAAAUGACGAAAGUAACUCUACAAUAGCCGAUACACUAUAGCUAAGACCCAAACUGGGAUUAGAUACCCCACUAUGCUUAGCCCUAAACACAGAUAAUUACACAAACAAAAUUAUUCGCCAGAGUACUACAGGCAACAGCCUAAAACUCAAAGGACUUGGCGGUGCUUUAUAUCCCUCUAGAGGAGCCUGUUCUAUAAUCGAUAAACCCCGUUAAACCUUACCAAUUCUUGCUAAUUCAGUCUAUAUACCGCCAUCUUCAGCAAACCCUAAAAAGGAAUAAAAGUAAGCACAAUAAUAGUACAUAAAAACGUUAGGUCAAGGUGUAACCUAUGAAUUGGAAAGAAAUGGGCUACAUUUUCUAUGUUAAGAAAAUCCUAUACGAAAGUUAUUAUGAAACUAAUAACCAAAGGAGGAUUUAGUAGUAAACUAAGAAUAGAGUGCUUAGUUGAACUAGGCCAUGAAGCACGCACACACCGCCCGUCACCCUCCUCAAAUAAAUACAACGCACCUAAACUUAUUCUAAAGCACUAACCAUAUGAGAGGAGACAAGUCGUAACAAGGUAAGCAUACUGGAAAGUGUGCUUGGACAAAU
rnacentral:ncRNA from 1 species